UUCGCAAUGCCCGAAAGGGUGACGAAGCGACGCCGCGUGUGGGAAGAAGGCCUUCGGGUUGUAAACCACUGUCGGGAGUUAAGAAAUGCAAGGAUAUUAAUAGUGUCUUUGUUUGACUAAGGCUCCGGAGGAAGCCACGGCUAACUCUGUGCCAGCAGCCGCGGUAAUACAGAGGCGGCAAGCGUUGUUCGGAAUUAUUGGGCGUAAAGAGCACGUAGGCGGCUAUGUAAGUCGGUUGUGAAAGCCUUCCGCUCAACGGAAGAACAGCAUCCGAUACUACAUGGCUUGAGUGCGGGAGGGGAGAGUGGAACUUCUGGUGGAGCGGUGAAAUGCGUAGAUAUCAGAAGGAACGCCGGCGGCGAAGGCGACUCUCUGGUCCGUAACUGACGCUGAGUGUGCGAAAGCUAGGGGAGCAAACGGGAUUAGAUACCCCGGUAGUCCUAGCCGUAAACGAUGGGCACUAAGUAGAGGGGUUUU
rnacentral:rRNA from 1 species